rnacentral:rRNA from 1 species
CACGUAGGGCGCAAGCGUUGUCCGGAAUUAUUGGGCGUAAAGAGCUCGUAGGCGGUCUGUUGCGUCCGCUGUGAAAACUCGGGGCUUAACCCCGAGCCUGCAGUGGAUACGGGCAGACUAGAGGUAGGUAGGGGAGAAUGGAAUUCCCGGUGUAGCGGUGAAAUGCGCAGAUAUCGGGAGGAACGCCGGUGGCGAAAGCGAUCCGCUGGACCGCUUCUGACGCUGAGGCGCGAAAGCCAGGGGAGCAAACGGG